CCCAGUAAACGGCGGCCGUAACUAUAACGGUCCUAAGGUAGCGAAAUUCCUUGUCGGGUAAGUUCCGACCCGCACGAAAGGCGUAACGAUUUGGGCACUGUCUCAACGAGAGACUCGGUGAAAUCAUAGUACCUGUGAAGAUGCAGGUUACCCGCGACAGGACGGAAAGACCCCGUGGAGCUUUACUGUAGCCUGAUAUUGAAAUUCGGCACAGCUUGUACAGGAUAGGUAGGAGCCUUUGAAACGUGAGCGCUAGCUUACGUGGAGGCGCUGGUGGGAUACUACCCUAGCUGUGUUGGCUUUCUAACCCGCACCACUUAUCGUGGUGGGAGACAGUGUCAGGCGGGCAGUUUGACUGGGGCGGUCGCCUCCUAAAAGGUAACGGAGGCGCUCAAAGGUUCCCUCAGAAUGGUUGGAAAUCAUUCAUAGAGUGUAAAGGCAUAAGGGAGCUUGACUGCGAGACCUACAAGUCGAGCAGGGUCGAAAGACGGACUUAGUGAUCCGGUGGUUCCGCAUGGAAGGGCCAUCGCUCAACGGAUAAAAGCUACCCCGGGGAUAACAGGCUUAUCUCCCCCAAGAGUUCACAUCGACGGGGAGGUUUGGCACCUCGAUGUCGGCUCAUCGCAUCCUGGGGCUGUAGUCGGUCCCAAGGGUUGGGCUGUUCGCCCAUUAAAGCGGUACGCGAGCUGGGUUCAGAACGUCGUGAGACAGUUCGGUCCCUAUCCGUCGUGGGCGUAGGAAAUUUGAGAGGAGCUGUCCUUAGUACGAGAGGACCGGGAUGGACAUACCUCUGGUGUACCAGUUGUCGUGCCAACGGCAUAGCUGGGUAGCUAUGUGUGGACGGGAUAAGUGCUGAAAGCAUCUAAGCAUGAAGCCCCCCUCAAGAUGAGAUUUCCCAACUUCGGUUAUAAGAUCCCUCAAAGAUGAUGAGGUUAAUAGGUUCGAGGUGGAAGCAUGGUGACAUGUGGAGCUGACGAAUACUAA
rnacentral:rRNA from 1 species